AAAAAAAAAAAAAAAAAGAAGAAGAAGAAGAAAACAACAACCAUGCCUAACAAGAAAAUCUUGGGUGGGAGCUUACGGAGACUUUGAUACUUUUCGGUCUGGAUAAACUUCCAUUUUGGUUAUAUUUGCUAGUUUUUACUGUACUUUUGGUUUUAUAAUUUCCAAAAAUGAUCAUAAUGUUGGAAAAAACUGUGAUGUGCAAAGUUUUUUACUAUCUAUUGGAUUGGAUUUACUCUUGUUUUGAGCUAUUCAUCGUUCAUUCGAAAAAUUAUUGUGUAUGACAGUAACAUGUGCACUAGCUAGGUUGGUAUUAAUUUAGUUAGGGUUUAAACAUUAAUAAAUUAAAAUGAGUCGACAUACUUAUUUCACACCCAAAAUUUUUUCUAAUAAUUGAGAAUUAACUAACAAGUAGACGAUUGAAUCAUGACAUAUUAGUGUGAUAUUAACAUAUUUUAAACAGGUUUAGUCAAACUACUUAAGAGGAGAUUGAGAUGAAGGAAAUAUAUGUGGGCAUCACAAGUUACUAUAUCCCAAUUAAUAAGUAUUUGUAAACAGUAAGUUGUGUUCCUAUUGACCAUAAAUUAUGGAAUUCAAUUUAUUCAACGUUCAGCCGCGUAAAGUCACGAAAACUCCACCCAAUAUUAAUUUCAAACGAGCUAGUUGAUCUUUGACUGAGCUAAGAUAGAUUAUUAACUUACCAAGCUCAAAAUUAUUAGGGCUCAUUUGGGAGUGAUUUUAAAUAAGCUGAUAAUCAUUUUAUGAAGAAUUACUUCUCCAUAUUAUCACUUUUAGUGAUUUUAUAGAAAAACACAUAAGAGGUGCUUCUCCCCAGAAUAACUUUAAAUCACUAUAAGUGAUUAUGUAGAGAUACACGUAGGAGAUGCUUCUUCCCAGAAGUGAUUCCAGCGCUUCCUAAAUCACUUCCAAAUGAGCCCUUGGUCAAUUUGGAUCCCAGAAGAAAGAAACUAUACAAUUUAUUAGAAGUUCAUAAUGAACUCACACAUUAAUUUCCAAUUAGAAGAGAUAAAUGCUUCCACAUUUUACAAGAAGAGAGCAAGCAAAUCUGAAUAUGCCUCCUCAAACAAUGUCAUCAAAAUGCGAAAAUUACAGACAACAAUUUUUUUUAACAAGUUACUCAAAUUAAUCCACCAGUGUAAGGCACACCAGUCGCAGCCAACCAAUUAUCCCCCAUCAAGAAGUUGGUCACUGUAAAAUUAGCAGCAACGGUUGAAUUGAUCACAUGGUAGCCAGGCCAUGUAACCCUAUUUGUAGUGUUGGAUCCAGGGCCUGUGUUAUUGUACUCAGCAUAAUACAAUGUGCUCAGAGCAAAAUCUCCACUCCAUGCAAGCCAGCCAGCAGGAUCAAUCAAACUAGCCAUGAAAGUUUGCAUGUAAACUGUCCUUGAAUAUUCCUUCCAUGGCCUCCCCAGAUAGGUCUUGACAGUGAAAUUACUCGAAGCCAAAUCCGGCGUCGGUUUGAUAGUGCAGUUGUGGAUUGAAGUCCCCGUGUUCUGAUUCGGGUCGGUUCGACCUUGAGCUGUGAUGGCAUUGGACUGCCCUUUGUUUGGCUGACGAGGAUAUAGGUUGCAAUUUUGGAAAACAACUGCUGCAUUGCCGAAUAUGAAGUCAACUGUUCCAUAGAUAUCACAUUCUCUGUAGAAUUGUCUGAGAGAAUGUGUGUAUAAGGUGUCUUGGUAGCCUUCAAAACUGCAGCUAUAGAAAACUGACAAAUCUGCCCCGCUUCGGAGUGCAACUGCCUGCCCUUUGCUUGGUCCGGCCGUGUUACGAACAGUAAUGUUCACUGCUACAAACCCUAGUCCUGUGACAGCUGCAUUGACCAAGAAGCUAAUUAGCUUACAGUUAAUCAUUUACAAAAUGUUUGUGAGUUUAAACAUUGUAUAAUAGUUUUUAGUUCAAAUGUCAUAAUCUGGCAAGUUAUGUUAUUAGACUGUGAAUUAAGAAUAUUUAUUAACUCACCUAAAGUGGCAGAGUUGAAAGUUGUCGAGCCAUCUCCUACGCUGUUGUUUCCAGUGAUGAUUGUCUGGUUGAUACCGUCUCCGAUCAUCAACAAGUACUUCUUGUUUGAUGCAAUUGACACAUACUCUUGAUAAACACCAGCAGUGACAUAUAUCAAGAAGUAGCCACCACUUGCAACGGAGUUGUUUGGUGCAGCAGCAAUGGCAGCAUUGAUGGUGGUAAAAUUUCCACUUCCAUCUUGACUCACAACCACAAUGCCCUUAACCAAAACCUCUUCAUCUCCUACCUGAAGAAGUCUUCUUCUCCGAUGAUUGAUAGCGGCGUCAUAAAUUGCACGAGCUUGGCUUGACAUCUUCAGGUUCAAGCGUCCCUUCCCAAAUUGGAGAUGCCUCUUGGGUUGCUUUGGCACUCCAUUUUUGUCCUUAGGCACCCAACCCUUAGUAAACAGAGCCAAAGAGACACUGUACAAUUGUGAGUUGUUAGAGAUUGAGGCAGAGAGAUCAUUGAUGAGACUCCCAGCUGAAGAAGGCAGAGAUUCGAGGCCAUCGGAACAAGUUUGUUGGUUGGUUAAAAUGGCACUAAGCAAUGUUUGGACAUCAUCAGCAUCCAAGCUAGCAAGAACACCACUUGUCUUGUUGACAGUUUCAAGGGAGCUUGAUAAGAAAUCAAUGUUCAACAAUGUAAGCAACUUGCAAUCCUCAAGUGCUUGGAUUGCAGGCUGUGGCAAGACUGAGCCAAGUUGAAGAUGAUUUUCAAUCGAAUCGAAGAGAUUAUGGGAUUGGGAAAGUGCAUGCUGGACAGAAAACCUGCCAAAGUCAUAGACAUUGGCAUUUUUGUGGGGAAGGACAGAUAUGCAAUAGGAAGGGUGUGGAGUGGACUUGCAAAUUGUUUCUGGUGGGAGAGGAGUGUCUAGAGGGACAUCUGCUAAAGAUGGGGAGCUAAGGGAAUGGAAGAUUAUGAGAAAUGAUGAAAAUGUUGCAAGAGAAAAAAGCUUAGAAGCCAUUGCUAUAGCUAGAGAGAGUUUUGAGGAAUGUGUAAUUGGUCAUGGGUCUACAUCUACAUAUAUAGUGAAGAGGAAGUAAUUUAAUAAUAAUAUUAUUAUUAUUGUAUUUGGAAGUGCAUGACUUUAUCCAAAGCUCAAUGUUAGCUCUUCAGUUUGCUUCUUCUUUUUUUUUCUUUUUCUUUUUGUAGGCUUAUUUGAUUGCUUCUUGACUAGAUAUAUAAUUGAGGAAAGAGAGAGGAAGUUAGUAGGUGUCACGUAGAUGUUAAGUAGUGUCGGAUGAUCCACUUGAUUAAUUAGGUUUAUUAAUGAACUUGUAUUCCUACCCUAUUGACAUUUUCUCAACCAUAUAUUCUUAUAUGUUUAAACCUACAAACACAAAUAUAUGUUUAUAAUGAUACUUGUACGAAGCUUAAUUCUCCCUAUUUUGUCUUAUUAUCCAGAGAUUUAAGAGUGAUCUUGAAAAAGAUAAUUUCUAUUGAAUCAAAAUGAAAAUAACCUAUAAUUCGCUAUAUAUAUAUAUAUGCGAUUGGGUUUUAGUCUCUGUAAAAAAUACAACUAACAUUAUCGUGAGAGUAAUGUGAUAUAUAAGAGAAAUACCACUAAAUUGCAAGAGCUAUUUGGUGCAUUGCAAUGUGAUAGAGUUAACAUUCCUCUAAUGUAGAUCCAAUGCACUUAGAUAGGGAUUAAGUUUAGGCUUUUUAAACGUACACAUAAUAUAAUCAACAUUCUAGAUGAUGUAAACCCCUCAUUUCAUGGAUGUUUUUGGUUUACGAACUUUUAAAGGACAAUUAGGCGAAGGUCAUUGAUAUGUGUUAGGGCACAAAAAGACACACAUGCAUACCCCCGAAAUAUUGUAAAGGUGAAGAAAAUUAAGCCUAUAACAUGCACAUUGCAAAGUUGUUAAUUUCUUUGAUUAAUGUGUGAGAUGCUGUAACCAAAAUGAGCAUUUAGCCAAUAUAAAUAUUUAAUUAUUAGACCUAGCUACCACAUGGAAAUAUGAUAUAAUUAACCACAUAUUGGUCGUGCAUUAGUGGUAUAUAUUUGUGCAUUAAUUAGGCUUAAGCGCGUAGUACGAAUACCAUAUGGUAAGGAUAUAUAUAUAUAUAUAUAUAUGAGAAAAAUAGAUUUCAUUAAAAACCCAAUAAACAAUAUAAAGUAACCGGCAUGUUAGUUAUUACUGACAUUCUAAAAGAGUUAUCAUGCAAUUUGAAGUGUAAUUUUCUCUCUUACAUAUAUUUUUACAAGGGAUAAAUGUUUAAUGACAGUUCCCUAUGUACAUAGAUACAAAGCUAUUAUUGCCGUCUCUUAUACUCUAUUGGAGUGCCAAUAACAGUACCUUUGUACAUAUAUAUACAACGUAUAAACCCAAUACCCUAACUUGACUGAAACUCAAAGCUACAGUAACUUACAAACCAACCCAGUAAUUUGACUGAAACUCAAAGCCCCCCAAUAAGCAUGUGAUUUUGUGAGAUUAAUAAGUCUCUUUUUGAGCAAGUUGGGUUGCAUGAGAAAAGGUCAGAGAAGCAAUUAAGUACAGCUGCUUCAAGCUCAUUUGGAUUUUCAUGUGCUUCAGAAAGGAAAGACUUUUAAUCUCUUAAUAUUUAAUUCCACUUGUCACGAACUAUUAACCAAGUAGACUAAGAAAUUGAUGAACUAUGCAUGAGUCAGAGAGAUUAUAUAAAUGAUGAGCAUGAUGAGUACGUAACCUAAUCAAGCAAAGUCAAACUAGAAGAGCUCCUAUCGACUGAAAACUUCGGAGUCAAUGUGUGCUAAAAACGUUAGCCAAAUGUACACAAAAUGCAUAUUUGGAGCUUUGCUAAGCCUUUGAUUUGGUCAUGCAAAGAUUGCAUACAUGUGAAGGAAAAUCAAGAAUAUAUGGAACCGUUUGAAUUUUGAUAAAUUGACGAAGACAUAUUAAUGAAAAAGUUUUUCUUUUGUUUUAAUUUUUUGGUCAGAUUAAAACAUUCUUACUUGCUUCAUACACAUUAACCACCAAAUAAAACUGCUUAAUUAAGUCAAAAUCUAUUAUAUUGGCUCGUAUGUGGCUACUGAAUAUGAAAACUUAAAAGAACUCUCAUAGCAAAGAAUUUUCAUAAUUUAAGUGGUUAAAAAUAUCUACUCAUGUACUCGAGGUAUCCUAUAUUCAAUUUUUCUCAAAGUCACACUUUUUCUAUGUUAAAAUUAAUCGAACCAAACCGGUCGAAUUGGUUUAAUUUGGCCGGUUUGAUAUGUCCAACAUCUCAUCCCCUAUAUGACUUUUAUAUAAUCUUCAUAAUGAAUGAUCAACCACUAGGUUCAUUACAUGAUCAUUAUUCAAUACAUCUAAACUAUAUAACCACAUUAUCAAAUUAACCAUUACGAAACUUAAUCACAUGCACACACGCCACUACAUGUUGCCCACAUUAAACCUCAACUAAUUUACAUUAAUUUGGUCCAAAGUUUUUUUUUUUUUUUCUUUCUUAUAACCAGUCCAAACUUAUCAAUUUGGACACUAGGUUGUCAUAUGCACGCGUUAUAGAUUUCUUAAAUUUAAUUUACUUCAAUUUGACAUUUAAAUCAUUAAUCAAGAUUCAUAUGUGCUCGUGACAAAGCACUCUAGCUAGCUGUGAUCAGUAUAGAACAUCAAGUGGAAAUAUAUAUAUAUUCUCUUUUAUUGAGGGAUCCCUUAAAUAAUUUUAUUUGAGAGACACCCUUUAGGGUUCCCUAUAAUAAAAAAUUCAACAAUUCAAACCAUAUAUUUUUUGAUUUUAUAAAUCAUCUUUACAAAAAAUUAAAUAAAUUGAAUAUCGUCUGUUUUUUAGUUCUACAUUCAUAGUUCUGUAUUCCCACUUGAUGUUCUAUACUGAUCACAGCUAGCUAGAGUGCUUGUCACGAGCACAUAUAUAUGUACAUAUUGUUUCUGAAUUUUGAGUUCUGACUUUUUAUUUUGCAAACCCAACCUGUUAAACUCGAUUUAGUUAAUCUGAGAAAAUCACAUGCUUAAUUCUUCUUGCUUUGGUUUUCAGUCAAAUUAGAGUGGGCUUGUAUAUAACACAGCAAGUAAUAACUGAUGAUAGAUAGGCUUUACGGGGGAAGGUCGGUCGUUUGGUUAAGCCUCAGAUCUAAUGCGUAGUUAUCAUAAUAAAAUAUUUGCAUUUGGUAGGUGCAGAAAGAUUGGGUCUGUGUCUUGUGGUGCUCAUACAUCAUGUAGGUCGUGUACGUUGACUAUAUGCAUGCCUGUGCCUAACGCGUUCUCUCUCUGAAACUUCUUGUGCAGAGAAUUGAACCCAUAUAGAUCUUCACCUAAUAAAUUCCAUAUCUUUUCUUUUUUGGUUUCAAAUUAGGCCACUCUAACCUCUGGAAUAUUAAGCAAAUUAAAUAAUAUAUAGGGUAGAAACUCCCUGCCAUAUAACCAACAAAAAUAUUAUUGAAUAUAUAUAUUUGUCUGCGACCACAAAUAAAAGAAUAUUAUUUAUAUAUUCUUUAAUUCUUAUGUUCAUAGGUUUUGGACAUGUACAUGAUGACCAAUAUUCCAGUAGGUGCACAUUACCAACCCCAACGUUGACAAAUGACAUAUGAUACGACAGUGGGAAGACAAAAGCGAAAUAAAUCACGGACAUAAUAAUUCAUCUCCUAAAAGUUAAUUUUGUUUGUUUAGAAAAACUUACGUGAGAUUGUUUUUGCUAGUUAAAUAUAAUAUGUGAUUAAGAAAUAAUUAUUUGUUAUUAAAUUUGAACACAUGAUUAUUUUCUAAUUGGAUUGUUUUGUCACUCGAUACUGAGUCUCGUGACAAAUAUAUGAUCUAAACGGGUUGUUUAGCUUGCAUUAUUAGAAGAAUAAUAGAAAAAUACUUCCCUCCUUACUAUAUAAGUAUGAACUAUAUUUUCAUCAAUAACAGUACGACAUGUGUAUAAAAAAUUUUCUUUUUGUAAGUAUCUCCUUACGGAAAAUGAGACAAGGAGUACCAUAUAAAACUACGUUUAAUUAGAUCGUUCUAUAUUGGUUGACAUAUGCGUGACAGCUGCCAUAGCCCCCACCCUUCCUUGUCAAGAAGUUAAUAGCAUCAAUCUCAAUUCUAAGCUGCGUUUUCCUUUGGAUAAAGUCGUGCACGUUUACUUUAUGAAAUUCAAUACCAACUUUAUAUUCUCUAAAACAAUAGUCAAAUUGGCUUGAUCACUUUCUAUAUAUAGAUACGAACCCCGUGACCCUAUUUCACAUUCCUCAAAAGCUCUCCCUUCUCCAUUAAUUAGAGCAAUGGCUUCUAAGCUCUUUUCUCUUGUAACAUUUUCUUCAUUUCUCAUUAUUUUCAAUCUCCUUAGCUCUCCGUCUUUAGCAGAUGUCCCUCUAAACACUCCUCUCCCACCAGAAACAAUCUGCAAAUCCACCCCACACCCUUCUUAUUGCAUAUCUGUUCUUCCCCACAAAAAUGCCAAUGUCUAUGACUUUGGCAGGUUUUCAGUCCAACAUGCUCUUUCCCAAUCCCAUAAGCUCUUUGAUUCAAUUGAAAAGUAUCUUCAAAGUAGCUCAGCUUUGCCACAGCCAGCAAUCCAAGCACUUGAGGAUUGCAAGCUGCUUGCAUUGUCAAACAUUGAUUUCUUAUCAAGCUCCCUCCAAACUGUCAACAAGACAAGUGGUGUUCUUUCUAGCUUGGAUGCUGAUGAUGCCCAAACCUUGCUUAGUGCCAUUUUAACCAACCACCAAACUUGUUCUGAUGGGAUUGAAUCUCUGCCAUCUUCAGCUGGGAGUGCCAUCAGUGAUCUGUCGGUUCCAAUUUCUAACAACACAAAGUUGUACAGUGUCUCUUUGGCUCUGUUCACCAAGGGUUGGGUGCCUAAGGACAAAAGUGGGGUGCCAAAGCGACCCAAGAGGCAAUUCAGAUUCGGAAAGGGACGGUUGAACCUGAAGAUGUCAAGCCACGCUCGUGCAAUUUAUGACGCUGCUAUCAAUCAUCGGAGAAGAAGGCUUCUUCAGGUAGGAGAUGAAGAGGUUUUGGUGAAGGACAUUGUGGUUGUGAGUCAAGACGGAAGUGGAAACUUCACGACCAUCAAUGAGGCCAUAGCAAUCGCACCAAAUAACUCCGUUGCUAGUGAUGGCUACUUCUUGAUAUAUAUCACUGCCGGUGUAUAUCAAGAGUAUGUGUCAAUUAUAUCGAAAAAGAAGUAUCUGUUGUUCAUCGGAGACGGUAUCAACCAGACAAUCAUCACAGGAAACAACAGUGUAGGAGAUGGCUCGACAACUUUCAACUCUGCUACUUUAGGUGAGUUAAUUCAAACAUUCAUACUAAAAACGUCAUUUUUAGAACCGCACAUUCAGACAUAAUUAAUUCAAAAAACAUUAGUGGUUUGAUUUGAUUCCAAAGUCUGUUAAUAAUGGUUUCCAAUUUAUAAUAUGACAACAUAACAUAUCAGAUUAUCUUAUACUUUAAAAUAAAAAAUAAAAAUAAAAACUAAAUGUUUACAAUUGCAAAUAUUUUAUUGAUGAUUAAUAAGCUAAUUAACUUCAUGAUCAAUAUUGCAGCUGUGGUGGCAGAAGGGUUUAUGGCAGUGAACAUUACUGUUCGUAACACGGCUGGACCAAGCAAAGGGCAGGCAGUUGCACUCCGAAGCGGGGCAGAUUUGUCAGUUUUCUAUAGCUGCAGCUUUGAAGGCUACCAAGACACCUUAUACACGCAUUCUCUCAGACAAUUCUUCAGAGAAUGUGAUAUCUAUGGAACAGUUGAUUUCAUAUUUGGUAAUGCUGCUGUUGUUUUCCAAAACUGCAACAUAUAUCCUCGUCAGCCUAACAAAGGGCAAUUCAAUCCCAUCACUGCUCAAGGUCGAACCGACCCGAACCAGAACACAGGGACCUCAAUUCACAACUGCACUAUUAAACCAGCAGCCGAUUUGGCCUCAAGUAACUUCACUGUCAAGACCUAUCUAGGAAGGCCAUGGAAGGAAUAUUCAAGAACAGUUUACAUGCAAACUUUCAUGGAUAGUUUUAUAGAUCCUGCUGGUUGGCAUGAUUGGAGUGGUGAUUUUGCACUGAGCACAUUGUAUUAUGCUGAGUACAAUAACACAGGUCCUGGAUCCAGCACUGCCAAUAGGGUUACAUGGUCUGGUUACCAUGUGAUCAAUUCAACUGAUGCUGCGAAUUUCACAGUUUCCAACUUCUUGCUGGGGGAUAAUUGGUUGCCUCAAACUGGUGUGCCUUACACUGGUGGCUUAAUUUGAGCAACUUAAUGUUAAAUUUAUUGUUGUGUUUGUUUUCCUUAAUGUCUUUUGUUUAAGAAGCAUCAAAGCUUCCAGCUUCUGUAACUCAAGUUUUUUUGUAAACUGUGGAAAGCAAUAUUUAUUUCUUCAAAUUGGAACAUGUGUAUGAUUUCUUCAUAAUUAGAAUAAAACUCUUUUGCAUACAUGGGUUAGACCAGUGGGUCCUUGCACCCAAAUUCGAAUCCCCUCUGGCCCCCAAAACAGUGUAGAUUAGAUGAAUUUAGAUUAUCGUUUGUAUUUAUAAAAAGAAAAGAAUGAAACUCUAGCUAUAGGUAAAGGCAUUUAAUAUUUUGAGAGCCAAAAUCCCCACCAACUUGUUGUUGUGUCCUUCAUAAUAAAGCAUGUUUGGUAUAGAAGACACCUCAGAAGCCAUACAACAAACAUGUUUAAUAAGAAUCUUAAUUAGAAAUUUAAAUGAGUUUUAGCUAAAGUGAAGCAAUAACAACCCAAGUCGCUGUGUAUGUUACAACAAACAAACCCUUAUGAGCGCUUUCAUAGGGGAGAUUACACUCCAUGCAAUAACAUAUAAACAUGCAUGAAACAUAAAAUCAAUGGCCAAACUCAUUUCUCGUGCCACCGAACCAUUUUUUUCUCCACCAAACAAACUUUAGCUCCAUCCAUCUUUUGAGACCUCUCGCUUCUCUCUCUCUCUUUCAAAAUCUAUCUGUAACGUGUCCUUAUAUUCUUCUUCCCUCCCCUGCCAUCUUCCUCCAUCACCCCAUCCCCAAUUCUUCUCCUUCUUGACCCUCCAAAACAAAAACAAAAAAAUCCAAAAAAAAAAAAAACCCAAAAAAAAAAAAAAUACGAACACCUCCCUCUGUAGUCCUCCUCCAAUGAAUCUCUGAUCGGUAUGGUGUGGUUUUCGCAAUGUCUCGCUAAUUUAAAUGUAUAAAUUAUGACGAGGAUGAGCAAGUAGCGAAGAAUCACAUCCACCACUGGUCUGGGAAAAAUUAAAGAGAAAUGGAGGUUCAGAGGAUGAGGCAGCUGAUGUUGUUAUGGUCUAGAAUACAAAGCAACCGCGUGGCCCUCGUGGGUGGGAACCACACCGCCGCCCGAUUUUGCACCCGCUAAGUAUUUUGCCUCUCCGCGCUAUUUCUCCCUCUCCCUCUCUGCCCUAACAAAAGUUAAU
rnacentral:lncRNA from 1 species